UUGCGAAGCAGUCCCCCGCCACCUUAGAUCUCGCAAGCCGUUUUCAUCAAUUGGUGACCAAUUCUGGUCUCAAGGGAGCGAUUACGAGGAAGAAUUCCGGGAUCUUUCCCUAGAGAAAGUUGCGCCCUGCAUCCCUCUCGAAUCGUGGAAUAAUGCACGAGGAGCUGAGUUCUUCGCGCUCAGAGGAAACUACACUCGCCUCGUAUAUUCGACGAGUUGGCCUCGCGAUACUGCGAGUUGAAGAUUUUCCGGAUGACCGAGCAUCUAGGCUCCAGAACUAGAACUGCCAAUGGGAUUCCUUCUGUUCUUUCUUUUCGCUCGACGACACGCCGUUUCGUUUUCAAUUUCAGGUGGUGACGCGACGAAUAUGGUGGAACACGAGGGGGGAGGGGUGUGAGGAUUAUGGGAACGAAGCCCAUUUUCAACUAUCUAUGAAAUAUUCCCCGUGGAAAGAGAACAUCUUUUCUCGUAACAAUGGAGUCACGAUUUUGUCGUUUCUUUCUUUCUUUCUUUCUUUCCUCGAGUGCAAUUAUAUCGCGCUGAGAAAGAUGGUUUUCAUUUAAAAUAUAUCUUCCUAUUAUUUACAAUUAAAUGUUCAACAAAGAUUCUCUUAAUACUUUGAGUAAUAUUUUAAGUAAAAUUUUUACGAAAGGAUUUUCAUCGAGAUUCUAAGAUUAUCCAAGUUUUUUUAAAAUAGAUCCACAUAUUUCUAUCAUAAAAUUAUAAGUAAUAUUACAUUCUUGUUAUUUAGUAGAAAAAAGAAAAGAAAAUUUAUUUUCGGUUAUUUAAUUUACGACUUAUUUUAUUCGAUCGAGAAACACGACUACAAAGUAAUAUCUCUUCACAAAACAAUAUUUUUCCAAACACUUGACGAAGAAACUAUAAAUUUUCUCUCCAAUAAAAAAAAACGUUGCAUUAAAUGAACGAAUUUUUCGUCCAAAAUUUGUUAUUCAAGCCUUGAAAAGGUUUACGAAUUUACGGUUCGUCAGAAUGCUUAGCGCAGCGCGAAUUUAACGGGAGAGAAAGAUAGAAACUGAAUUUCACAGGAAUGUUUCCACUUCAUUUGAAGUAUCAAUAUCUACCAUCCAGUGUCUUAUGAAAGGAGCCGAGAAUCGUGGGUAUUGAAUCGGAAUGCGCGCGUCCCCCUUCGAUUUCAUAUUCGAGAUAUUCCGUGACAGUCACCUGGCUCCUUCCCUAUAUACAGUGUGACGAAAAUAAAAGAGGAUCGAGAUGUCCGCCCGCACCUCGUGAACCACUUCGAACCUCAACUUUAAGGGAAGAGAAAAGCCGAGGUACAAGCAAAGUCCUUUGUAAGUUAACGCGACCUCUUUACGAGGAACGAUUCAACUUUCCCGCUCUCUUUCUCCUUUUCUCCGAGGCGCAAGAAUGCGAUAGGAAAGGUGCCAAAAGUUACAUUUGGAACGUUGCAAGAAAUUGUUCUUCUUUUUUUCUUUUUUUUUUUCCUCUUUAUUUCUUUUUCUUUUUCCUUUUUGUCUCAAGAGGGAAACAAUUUUGAGAUGGGGAAAGAAGAAUCACGUAAAUGGAAACACGUGUGUGAAAGGGGGACGUCGCUUUUCAUUGGAAUUUACGUCGCGCAUUCGAAAAUGACACAUCCAAACGUUUUUAUCGCGAGCAUUGUUCCUUUUUCUUCCAUUGACCGCCUAUUCUUCCACCUCGUGCAAAUUUUUAGAUAAAGAUUAGGGCGGAACGAAAUGUAGAAAGGAUGAAAUUUGAGAAUUAUUUGAGAAAGGGAUACAAUGUCGAGGACAUGAUUUUUUUUUAUAAAUAUAGAUAUUUAAUAUUUUAUAAAAAAAAUAUCUUUAAUGUGAUAUUUGAACCAUUAAAAUUUGAAUAUUUUUUUUUAAAUGCAAUGAUUUCAAUGAUUUCUAUUCAAUAAUAUAAUUAAAGUUUCUUUUUUCUAAAUAAGAAAAUAUUGUUUCUUAUUAAAUUAAAAUAAUAUAAAAGAAAUACAAAUUUAUUUAUGAUAAAAAAAAUUGUUAUUUUAUAAAAAUUUCUAGAUUGCUCAUUUAUAUACGUGCAUGUUAUUUCAUCGUUUCACAUAUUCAAUUUAAAAUAUCGAUAAUUUAAUAAAAUUAAAAGCAAAAAAAAAAAAAAUAUUGUAAAUGAUAAAAAAUAAUGAAAUAUGAUAAAAGAAAAUUACGAAAUUUUUGCUUUUGAUUUCUCAGAAACUAUUUUUUAAAUAAGAAAUCUGAGAAAUAAAAAGCGAGUUUUAUUCAUUAUUGCAAGAAUCAUAGAAUUUGAUCGUUCCACCCUGUUAAAAUUAAUAACUAGUUUAAAAAAGAAAACGUGAAUAAUGUAAAUAAAACUAAACAAGCAAAUUAUGACAAAACAAUUUAUAAAUAAUAAAAUAUUGCGGUUACAAAACUGAGGCAAUGGAAAAUUGAUGACAUAUAUUAUUUUUCCGUUAACUUUGAAGAGGACAAGAAAAUCUAAGACAUUUCUAGGGAUUGUCAUGAGAAUCACUGUAACAUAAAAAUAUAAUAUAAAUUAUAAUUGCAAUAAAUAAUUUAAGAGAGAGAGAGAGAGAAAAAUGUACAAAAAAUAUAUAACUGCAUUAAAUGUAACUUUAAAAUGAA